rnacentral:rRNA from 1 species
UUUUAAGUGUAAAAUUUUAAUACCAGAGUACUACGAUUGUUAUUUUAAAACUCAAAAAGCUUGGCGGUGUUAUAGACUCGUUAGGGGAACUUGUCUCAUAAUCGAUAACCCACGUUGUACCUUACCUGAGCUGGCAUAUCAGCUUAUAUACCGUCGUCGGCAGGUAACCCUUAAGGGCCUUGCGGUUAGCUCUAGAAAAAAGUAUAUUUCUUACGUCAGAUCAAGGUGUAGCUAAUGCUUAGGGGAGGAUGAGUUACAGUUAUUAUUUAUAAUACGGAUUUAUUUGGGCAGCUAAAAUAAUUGAAGGCGGACUUAAUAGUAAAGGAAGGUAUAUAAAAUUCUUGAACACGGCUCUGUGAUGCGUACAUAUCGCCCGUCGCUCUCGCUGAAAAGUGAGAUAAGUCGUAACAUAGUAGGGGUAACGGAAGUUGUACCUGGAA